CCUUGCCGCUCGUUUUCAGGUGCUGCCGUGUAAUGCUACACGGGAGUGAAACGGGAAGCCGGUUAAAGUCCGGCGCUGCCCCCGCAACGGUAAAUGAGUCACGAGCGAUCGAAUGCGCCACUGUGCCCCGUGCAUGGGAAGGUGAUUGCUCCGGUUCACCAGUGUGAACCCCUCAUAAGCCCGGAGACCGGCCUGUUAACACACCAGACG
rnacentral:ncRNA from 2 species